rnacentral:rRNA from 1 species
AACGAACGCUGGCGGCAUGCCUAACACAUGCAAGUCGAACGAGACCUUCGGGUCUAGUGGCGCACGGGUGCGUAACGCGUGGGAACCUGCACUUAGGUUCGGAAUAACUACCCGAAAGGGGUGCUAAUACCGGAUAAUGUCUUAGGACCAAAGAUUUAUCGACUUUGGAUGGGCCCGAGUUGGAUUCGCUAGUUGGUAGGGUAAAAGCCUACCAAGGCGACGAUCCAUAGCUGGUCUGAGAGGAUGAUCAGCCACACUGGGACUGAGACACGGCCCAGACUCCUACGGGAGGCAGCAGUGGGGAAUAGUGGACAAUGGGCGAAAGCCUGAUCCAGCAAUGCCGCGUGAGUGAUGAAGGCCUUAGGGUUGUAAAGCGCUUUUACCCGGGAUGAUAAUGACAGUACCGGGAGAAUAAGCUCCGGCUAACUCCGUG